CGCUGGCGGCAGGCCUAACACAUGCAAGUCGAACGAACUCUUCGGAGUUAGUGGCGGACGGGUGAGUAACACGUGGGAACGUGCCUUUAGGUUCGGAAUAACUCAGGGAAACUUGUGCUAAUACCGAAUGUGCCCUUCGGGGGAAAGAUUUAUCGCCUUUAGAGCGGCCCGCGUCUGAUUAGCUAGUUGGUGAGGUAAAGGCUCACCAAGGCGACGAUCAGUAGCUGGUCUGAGAGGAUGAUCAGCCACAUUGGGACUGAGACACGGCCCAAACUCCUACGGGAGGCAGCAGUGGGGAAUCUUGCGCAAUGGGCGAAAGCCUGACGCAGCCAUGCCGCGUGAAUGAUGAAGGUCUUAGGAUUGUAAAAUUCUUUCACCGGGGACGAUAAUGACGGUACCCGGAGAAGAAGCCCCGGCUAACUUCGUGCCAGCAGCCGCGGUAAUACGAAGGGGGCUAGCGUUGCUCGGAAUUACUGGGCGUAAAGGGAGCGUAGGCGGACAUUUAAGUCAGGGGUGAAAUCCCGGGGCUCAACCUCGGAAUUGCCUUUGAUACUGGGUGUCUUGAGUAUGAGAGAGGUGUGUGGAACUCCGAGUGUAGAGGUGAAAUUCGUAGAUAUUCGGAAGAACACCAGUGGCGAAGGCGACACACUGGCUCAUUACUGACGCUGAGGCUCGAAAGCGUGGGGAGCAAACAGGAUUAGAUACCCUGGUAGUCCACGCCGUAAACGAUGAUUGCUAGUUGUCGGGAUGCAUGCAUUUCGGUGACGCAGCUAACGCAUUAAGCAAUCCGCCUGGGGAGUACGGUCGCAAGAUUAAAACUCAAAGGAAUUGACGGGGGCCC
rnacentral:rRNA from 1 species